GGUUCCGUGGUGUAACGGAUAGCACAAAUGACUUCGGAUCAUUUAGUUAGGGUUCGAAUCCUUACGGAACCGCCA
rnacentral:tRNA from 1 species